AUUCCAGCUCCAAUAGCGUAUAUUAAAGUUGUUGCAGUUAAAAAGCUCGUAGUUGGAUUUCAGUCUUAAUUCGUCUGGCCCGCUCCCUUGAGGAGCCGAGUGCCGGUUGCGAAUUGGACUUCCUUCUAGCAUGAAUCUCCUACCGUUAUGCGGCCGGGAAGGACAUCUGGAUCAUUUACUUUGAAGAAAUUAGAGUGUUCAAAGCAAGCUUACGCUGUGAAUAUAUUAGCAUGGAAUAAUAACAUAGGACUCGGGUUCUAUUUUGUUGGUUUCUAGGACUCAAGUAAUGAUUGAUAGGGACAGUUGGGGGUGCUGCUAUUAUAUGGCCAGAGGUGAAAUUCACGGAUUCAUAUAAGAGCAACUUAUGCGAAAGCAUUCACCAAGGAUGUCUUCAUUA
rnacentral:rRNA from 1 species